CAGCUAGUUUUUUCCCCCUUCUUCUCCAUUUGCUUUAAAAAAAUUUUUUUUUCUUUAAAAGUAUGAAGCUUUGAGACGCUGUGUCUCUUGGAUUACUCAGGAGAUAAGGCAUUUGUGCUUUGAGUAAUGACAGCAAUAACUGUUUACUGAAUAAUUUUUGUGUCAAGACUGACUGUAUACUUUGUGGAGCCCCAUGCAAAUGGGAAUGUGGCGCCCACUAUUCGACAAUUAUUGAGAAUUUCAAGACGGCAGAGCAUUACCCAAAGUACAGGUCCCUUCUCCGUGGAACUGUGCAGAUGGCAUGUCCAUGAAGCUGGCUCCGACUGGGUUAAUUCUUCACAUCUGUGGCCAUCUGAAGAAGAUCUUAUCUUCCCAGCAGCAAAAGCUUUCCUUCUUUUCCUGCUCCAAGAAAAGGCAAAGUGACUGGGUUGAUGGGACUCCACGGGACUAACAAUGGUUGGCCCCUGAACUGUUUUCUAAGGAUGGAAUCAGCGAAAACUGCCUGGCUUUUGUUUUGCUGGCCAGAUCAUGCAAGCUGUGAAUUGAAUUACUAGGGAAAGGAGAAAAAUAGUUGAGAGGCAGUGUUGGGAAUGUUAGGCUGAAGGAAAAACAAAGAGAACUAGAAGACGUCGGGGCCCAUAGUGGAACUUUGAGAAAUGAACAGAUGCGUUUAAAAGGUAGGUACUGAGAAAUUGAGCAAUUCACAAUAGAAUGGAUAUGGCAGCAGCUUCAAAAUUUACAAAAUAGUUGAUUAUGAUCACAUGCUACACCCUCGACUUGCUGAUGGGGCAGCGUGGAUUCAACCAGGAAUGUCCUCCUUCCUGAAUGGAUGAUGAUGGGGCAAACACAGCGUUCCAGUCACUAGACAUGUACCUCCUAUGCAGGUGGGCACACAAGACAGCUGACUAAGGGAAGAAAUGCAUGAGAAAUUUGCAAAGAGGGAAAGCCAAGAGCACCUGUAGUGUUCUGGAGGUAGCUGCACACUGACAUCCCUUCACACCCAGUGGCCUCUUGUGAAAGAGAAGGCAAUGCAAUGCCGUCGGAGACAAAGCCCAGCUGAAGAGAGGCAGUGCACUUGCUGAUGGAUACUAAAUGAAAAGCAGGCAGAAAUCAGCAAUGCAUCCAGCUUCUGUUGAGGGAGAUUCAGUGGAAUGAUUUUUAUAUUUUCAUGAAGAAAUUACAGUUGAAUAUUAAAACCUGGUAUUUCAGUUUAUCUGGUCUGACUCCCAUCUAACUAACCAACAUAGCCAUGGAUUUUGUAAAACUCACUUAGCAAAUCAUCUUAAUUGGUACCAAAAAAGUGAUGGCUAUGGAAAUAUUGGCAUUUCUAUGUGCAUAACUGAUGUUUUUAUGAGGAUAAGAGGGAGAGAAGAAUCACAUUUCAAAGAAGCUUCUACUGAAAUAAACUAACCAGAAGAACUAAUUGUGGCAUACUUAACAGCUUUGAGCUUUAUGUGUACACUACCUAUGUUUCCUGUUCAGCAAGUGAAUGUCCCCAGGCCGGUAGGGGCAAUGUGAAGAUGAAUCUUAUAUCUCCAAUUUCUCGAAGAACAUUUAUUCAUCUUCCUGGAAUUCACUCAUUGCCAGUUCUUUUAGAAAUACUGACACAGUUAAUAGUGUCUAAUGUCGUGGAUGACUGCCUUCCACCGAUGUCGUGACUUCCCACCCAAGAACCAAUGACUUCUUUCUCUGUGAUUCAGCUCUCCACUGACCCUCAUGGGCAAGAGUGGGGUUUCAGCAAUUAUUCUUUCAACCUCUAUUGAUUAAUCACACGAUAUAAGCCAGACACAGUUCUGGGCAGCAGGAUACAAUAGUGAACAAGACAACCCCAAAUCCCUGCUCUUGUGGAACUGACAUUUUCUCAUGGGGUGUGGGGGUUGGGGAAGAAUGAGAGAUGUUAAAUGCAAAACCAAAAUAAAAGAAAUUUUAAGAUCAUGUGAUAGGGAGUGGCUGGCUGGUCAGGGAUAGCCUCUCCAGGACUGGGACAUUCAUGGGAGUUGACAUGUGAAUUAUGAGAAGAAGCCGACAAUGCCAAGAUCACAUGGCAACACGUUUCAUGCAAAAGAAACAGCCAGCAUGAAGCCUGUGAGCUGGGAACAAGACCGGCUCAGGUCAAGGGACAGACAAAAAGGCCAACAAGGCUGAAAAAGAAUAAGGAAGAGGAGAGGGGUGUGAGGUUCAGCAGGAAAGAUCUGAAGGACUGGGUCAGACAGGGUUCUUCAGGACAUGGAAAAGAAUUUGAAUUUUUUAAAUAAAUGCAAUGAGAAGACACUGGAGAAUUUUAAUCAUGAGGGUAACAUAGUCUGUUUUGCAUUUGAAAACUAACAUUGUGACUGUUAGGCAGCAAAUGAAGUUGCCCUCCCCCAGUCCAUCCCUGGCCGUGGUUGAUCGAAACAUAAGUGACCAUCUUACCCGGUGUGUUUUUUGUCACUAUGGAAUUUGCAUUUAGGAACAAAGGGUCUGUGUUUAUUCAAGUGGUCUCUUCAUGGGGCCGAUACUGUAACAUACAUAGCUGGGGGUCUGAGGCAGCCACGUUGUGCCAAGGGCACUGAGGAGAAAAUGGCGGCCUGCUGGAUUCUUCUUUCUUCUGAGGCUCAGGUGACUGCUUGUCCUCAUAUCACUCCACCAGACUGUCAGGAGCUAAGCGGAGCUCGAGAGAGCUGAGCUGCCAGGUGUCAGGGUAGCUGAUUAAGACAACAAGCCAAGAUGAACAGUGAAGGCUUUAAUCAUUUACUGCAAUAGUAUGCACAAGAGACUAAACCAGAGAAAGUGCCGACUCCCCAUCAUUCCAUUUUCCCCAGCGCACCAGCCCUCAUUGAGGGUCUGGAUCAGCACUGAAGCCAAGGGAUUGUCUCACAGCUGAGGGACCCCUGAACAAGAGACUCCCGCCAUCAAAUGGAUCUGGAGCUGGCGGGGGGUGGGGAGAAGGAAGGGCUAUGAGUGUGAAAGUACUGAGCACUGAGUCAGAGUGGAGAAAAACAUCUCCAAGCCUCCCCGCUUCUUCUCCUUGAUAAGGUGACCCCUGCAGAGGUGUCUAAGAUAAGCCUCUGCAGAAAGCCUGUGAUAAAGAGGCCUCCAAAGAGAGGCACCUGGGCCAGGAAUGUGGAUGUGCAUAAGAGCAAGGCUGGCUGGGGGGACUCAGUGCUUGACUGCAACUCCCCUCAGAGACUCAAUGUGUCGGCUGUGCCCCAAGUCUGCAGUGGGGAGGGCAGUUUCUCCCCACGAGGUCUGACAGGUAAAGCCUGGUAUUAAUAAUUGCUUAUGGCCAGAUGUGAAAGUUCACACAUAGGUUUAGGGCUACGAACUGGUACUCCAAACAGACUAUGCUAGGUGCUUACUAUAAACCCAUCUACAGUAGAGCUUGAGUAACUUCUGCUGCUUGAAACUGGCACUCUAACUAAUGAAAUUUAAAAUGAACCCCAAAAUGAGUUAGAGUCAAAUAAUGACAGGAUGUGGGAAAUGAUCACAACAUAGGUAUAGACUCCAGAAAAAUGGGCACCACUACCCAUAAGAAGACGCCCAGAGAUAUCUUGCAGACUAUUUAAAUUGAGAGCAAGAGUUUGAGCCUGUACAGUAUUUCUGGCAAUCCAAAGAGGCAAACCCAGGGGCAGGAGCUAGAGAACUUGAAAUAUAACCAGAGUGGCCUAUCUCUGAGCUUACCUGUUGGCUUACUCUUUGCCAGAAAUUUCUGUUGUGCAACAAGAAUGAUAACAGUUGGGAAGAGAAGAAAGGUGCAAGAGAAGCCCUUGACUAUCUCACCAAACCCAUCCCCUCCCUCUGCUUCCUCCUUCACUCUGCUUUGGCCCCACUGGUCUGCUCCCUGUUGCCCGACAAGUUCACACCCCAGGUCCCUUGUAUAUGCUGUUCCCUUUGCCUGAAUUGCUCUUCCCUUCAGCCCUUGCUAGACUCCUUCAUUCAAGCCUCGGCUGAAACGUCACCAUUUUCAAGAGUGACCUGGCCAUUCCAUCCCAAAUGGCAGUUCUAUCACUUUUUAUCCCCUAACAGUGGUUUCUAUUUUUCUUUAUAAUACUUAUCACAACCUGAUAUUAUGAUUGAUUGCUUUGUUAGUUCUUGUGUCUUCCUGUGCCCACACUAGAAUGUAAGCUCCACGAAGUUGAGAGCUGUUUAGUUCAUAAAUCACUGCAUCCUCAGAGCCUAGAAUAGCACCCAGGAGUUAUUAGUUACUCCAUAAAUAUUAAUUAUAUGAAUGGAUGAAGGAAGAAAUGAAAGAAGGAAGAAAGAAGGAAGAAGGGAAGGCAAGGGAGGGGAAGGGAGGGGAGGAGAGGGAAGGCAAGGGAAGGGAAGGGGACAGGAGGGGAGGGGAGGGGAAGGGGAGGAGAGGGAAGGGAAGGGAAGGGGGAGGAAGGAAGGAAGGAAAGAAGGAAGGAAGGGAGAAAGAAAAAGAUGAGAAAGGGGAAAUAAAAUAUCUUAGAUUCUAAUUAGAGGAGCAAAAAUGAAUUAUAAAAGCCAAACAUGUAAAAUAGAAAAAUCUCUGAGUGUUUUACAUUUAAAGUUAAUCUUAGUUUGUUUUAUUCAUUCGUUUAUUCCUCUAAUAAAUAUUGUCUGAACAUCACAUUCUAGGGUUAUCAGAGAAGGCUGGAUCUUAAAGGUGAAGACCAUAAAGAAAGGACAGUGAGAUCAAAAAGAAAAGAUCUGUGUAGAAACAGUAAAAAAAAAAAACCUCACACAUCAGUGUGUCUGAGCAAAGCCAGGUUGAGAAAUAUUCUUGCUUAACUAUCAAACCUAACAAUAUAUUUUUCAGAUGUGAGAGAUGGAGUAAGAGAAAACCAUACCACAAUGGCUGCUGCCAGGCAGGAGUACGUCUUGGGCUGCUACUGUGGCUUCAUCACGUCCCCAUCCUGUGCUUAGAGGAGACCUCAUGGUUACAAGAAUCCCAUGAAGUAUGUUCUGUUAUUGUCCUGAUUUUGCAGACAAAUAAAGUGAGGCUUAGAGAAAGCAAGUAGUGCACUCAAGGACCAGUGAGGAGAAGAAAUCACAAGAUGGAUAAAAGAUGGAUUGUGAAGGGAUCUUAAAGACCAUUCAGCCUGGGCCUGGUGGCUCACACCUGUAAUCCCAGUACUCUGGGAGGCUGAUGCUGGCAGAUCACUUGAGCCCAGGAAUUUGAGACCAGCCAGGGCAAUGUAGUGAAAUCCUGUUUCUACAAAAAUUAGCCAGGCAUGGUGAUACGACAGUCUCAGCUACUUGGGAGACUGAGGUGGGAGGAUUGAUUGAGCCAGGGAUGUCGAGGCUGCGGUGAGCAGUGAUUGCAGCACUGCACUCCAGCCUCGGUGACAGAACAAGACCCUGUCUCAAAAACAAAAACAAACACCAAAAAAUCAUUCAUUUGUUACACCCUGUACUUUACAAAUAAGUCAGCUGAAGCCCCCGUGAGGCUAAGUGACUUAGCCAAGGUUAUGUGGCUAGCAAGCAGAAAACACAGCCAUGAGCAAGCAUUAGAGGCAAAAGAUAGAUUUUUGCAUCCACAAACAACUCAACAACAAAGGACACAGAUAGAAGAAAGGGAAAGUCAGUCAAGUAUUGAGGUUGGAGAGACUGAUUCUAGAUAAGUAAAUCAUAUAAGGCCUGUGUUUGAUGGCCUAGACUUUAUCCUUUACUGAGCUGUUUCCCAGACCAUAUUCUGCAAACACUAGUUCCCUAGGAAUUUACUAAGUAUUCCAUGAAAGUAUUCAGUAGUCAUGGAAGUUUGGAAAAUGCAGGGAAUCCCAGGCUGUGAAGUAUGCUAUGGACAUUGUAACUCUCCAAGAGGGAGGUAGAAUACACAGCAGUUCUUGAAAUUUAUUUGACCAGCGAAUCCAUGUCCCCGCAUAGCUUAUGUGAAAGUAGCAUUCCUGAGACCACCUGCUUAUAAAAAGCUGCUGUGCGGGACAGUUUCAAAUGGAGAUUAAAAUGGGCAAUGAGAAAUGAUGAGAGUCACUUCAAAAAAAUACAAUUUAGCAUAAAAAUCUGAUUGUGUCAGCAUUUCCCUCUUUUUUUUUUCUUUUUAUUGCUGUACUGUUUCACACUUACUAUUUGCAGUAGGUGUCUGGCGAGAGGUUGUGUGAAGUGAUGGGGAAAAAGCAGAAAGGACUUACACAGUUUCAGAAAUUCCUGGAAGGCUCCUUUGGAGUCUAAUGUUUCUUUGUGUGUUUGCUUGCUUGUUUUCCCCACAUAAAGAGAUACCACAUAUGGAUUUGAACUCCAUUCUGCAAUCCACCCACCUAGACCUAGACCCGCAUUCUACAUGAAUUGCAAGACUGAUCCUGUUGCUAUGCAGGAUCCUGGUGUGUGGGAGGAUGUAAGGAGCCCAUGUGUGGACCCACAGUGAAAGGAAGCAUGUACAUUUUAUUUUAUUUAUGUAUUUUUUUAUUUUUAUUUUUAUUUAUUUUUUUUUGAGACAGAGUCUCGCUCUGUCCCCAGGCUGGAAUGCAGCGUUGUGGUCUCAGCUCACUGCAAGCUCUGCCUCCCGGGUUCACACCAUUCUCCUGCCUCAGCCUCCUGAAUAGCUGGGACUACAGGCAUCCGCUACCACGCCCGGCUAAUUUUUUGUAUUUUUAGUAGAGACGGGGUUUCACCGUGUUAGCCAGGAUGGUCUCGAUCUCCUGACCUCAUGAUCCGCCCGCCUCGGCCUCCCAAAGUGCUAGGAUUACAGGCGUGAGCCACCUCGCCCAGCCUUUAAUAGUAAUUUCUUGAUAGACUUGUGGUGAAAUUAAAUGAGAUACUUCAAGGAAAGUUCUGAGUGAGCAUUCAGUAAAUGUUAACUAUUAUUCUUAGCAUUUUAAUCAUCAUUUUGAUACUUACUAAAAGAAUUGAGAGAGACCAGGAGAGUUUCAAGAGGCAGUAGCUAAGGCUAACUGCCAUUUUUGCCAAAAUCUGACUAUCAUCCUAACACUCAAACGUCAAAGGCAAUUUAAAAAUGAAACUUGAGAAAGAGGCCAGGUGUGGUGGCUCACACCUGUAAUCCCAGCAGUUUGGGAGACCAAUGCAGGAGGAUCACUUGAGCCCAAGAGUUCAAGACCAGCCUGGGCAACAUGGCAAAACCCCAUCUUUACAAAAAAUACAAAAAUUAGCCAGAUAUGGUGGCACAUGCCUGUAGUCCCAGCUUGAUUGGGAGGCUGAGGCAGCGGAAGGAUCAACUGAGCCCAGGAUAUUGAGGCUGCAGUGAGCUGUGAUCACACCACUGCACUCCAGUCUGGGCAACAGAGAGAGAAAAAAAGAGAGAAAGAGAAAGAAAUUAUUUCAAAACAAUUUCUGUAAAAUAUGGAUAUGAAUGAAUAUGGGAAGACUUACUUAAAGAAUACUGUUGAUACUUUUUGCAAUUUAUUUUUAAACUAGCAUGAAGUACCUAGCUAAGCAAAAAAGGACUCUCAAAGUCAGAUAUUUGAAUAGCGCCUGUGGCAAAGCGGCAAUACACAUGAUAUACAGUUGCUUUGUAGUCAUGGGCUCUUUAAUUCAGCAGACUGAUGUGUUGCUCACAUAAUGGAUGUGCGGAGUAGAAUGAGUGCCAGACAGGAUUAUAUCCCCCCCUCAAAGCAAUGCAUUUGAAGUGCAGAUGAAUACAAACCAUUUAGGAAAUAAUUGGUCUGACCCAGUAGCAGAAGUGGCCAUUUUGGCAGCAGGGAGAAAGGUGUUACUCAGGUGACAGGAGGCAAUGAGGCUAAGAUGUAGAAUGCAAGAUUUCUCGGGUUUUAAACCUGUCAGCAUAAGAAAUAAAGGAAAAUUGCAAACACAGUUCCAACCUUUCUGAUGCCAGUCUUUCAGACUUUGUUAAAAAAAAAAGGAUUAAAAAAAAUCUCUCUCUCUCUCUUUUUCUCUUUUAUUACUUCUAUAUCAGGCGUUAGCAAAAUUUGGCCCAUGGGGCCAAACCAGCCCACUACCUGAUUUUAUAAGUAAAGUCUGUUUUUAAAUAUAGCUAUGCUCAUUCAUUUACACAUUGUUCAUGGCUGCUUUUGUGCUACCGUGGCAGAGUUGAGUAGUUGUACAGAGACCUUAUGAGCCACAAAGCUUAAAAUAUUUUUUAUCUGGUCCUUCACAGAAAAUAUUUGUUGACUCUUGAUCUACAGCUGUAGUUCAAUCAAGGCCACUCCCAUCUCUUUGCUUAAAAUCCUUAAAUGACAUGCUGUUGUUCCCCUAAGUUUGAAUUUUAAAUGUGGUUUAAAAGAUCUACAAGCUGGCCUCUCUCUACCAUGCUGACUUCACCUCUCCACUAUCUGCUCCACACCUUUACUCCAGAUACACAAAAGGACAUUUAGUUCCUCCGAGGAUUCACACUCAGUCUUGUCCCUAGGUCUUUGCAUGUACUGCUCCCUCUACCUAGAACAUGCUUCCCCAGCUUUCCUUCCUCUCUUUACCAAGAUUGUUUUGCAUUUUUCUCAUUGCCAUUAAGCUCUUAAAUUGCUCUAUGCGCUCUGUUUCUUCAGGUGUAAGUUCUACUUCUCUUUGUUUUAGGGUUUUCACAUUCCUCAAAUGAUGAUUAGUGAUUGUUCUCCAUUUUUGUACUUGAGAUUAUCCAUUUGCUUGUGCUACCUAUUGAAGUAGGACCUGGAGUUGUGGCUUUAAUUUUGAUGAGAGCUGGGGAGCAGAGGCAAUUCUGUACCUGCUCUGCUGAGUACUCCCCACCACUCUGAGUGAAACUCUGUGUCCUCUGCUCUAACCUGCAGGCAGAUGCUUUCCAGCUAUUGCCUGGUCUAAGAGGGAGAGUUGCAGGGGUCAGUCAUCUUGACCUGGUCCUCCAAUGAAUUACCUUGUCAUUUCACCAUCGAUUCUCUCUUUUUCUUUUUCCACCUCUGAGCAUGAAACACCCUUGAUGGAAAUCCAGUUGUAAGAACAAACUAUUUCUUACCUUCAUGUGAGAUGUAGGUAAUAUUUCAUGUUCCUGUCUUUAAAAAAUCAUAUUUUCUACCUUUCUGAGGACUUAAUGCAGAAGAAUUUAGCCUGUAGCAUGCACUCCACCUGUCAACUUGAAAGAGAAGAUAUUGCUGAUUAUGUCUUUUAUGCAAAACUGUAACCUCCACA
rnacentral:lncRNA from 1 species